rnacentral:rRNA from 2 species
AGAGUUUGAUCCUGGCUCAGGACGAACGCUGGCGGCGUGCCUAACACACGCAAGUCGAGCGGAGUAUUUGAAGAAGAUUUCUUCGGAAUGAAACUUUAAAUAUCUCAGCGGCGGACGGGUGAGUAACGCGUGAGAAACCUGCCUUUCACAAAGGGAUAGCCUCGGGAAACUGGGAUUAAUACCUUAUGAAGUUUCAUCUUAGCAUUAAGAAGAAACCAAAGCCAAAAGCGGUGAAAGAUGGUCUCGCGUCCCAUUAGCUAGUUGGUGAGAUAGAAGCCCACCAAGGCGACGAUGGGUAGCCGGCCUGAGAGGGUGACCGGCCACACUGGAACUGAGACACGGUCCAGACUCCUACGGGAGGCAGCAGUGGGGAAUAUUGCACAAUGGAGGAAACUCUGAUGCAGCGACGCCGCGUGAGUGAUGAAGGCUUUCGAGUCGUAAAACUCUGUCCUAGGGGACGAUAAUGACGGUACCCAAGGAGGAAGCCCCGGCUAACUACGCGCCAGCAGCCGCGGUAAUACGUAGGGGGCGAGCGUUGUCCGGAUUUAUUGGGCGUAAAGGGUUCGCAGGCGGCCUUUUAAGUCAGAUGUGAAAUCCCAUGGCUUAACCGUGGUAAGCAUUUGAAACUGGAAGGCUUGAGUUAAGGAGAGGAAAGUGGAAUUCCUAGUGUAGCGGUGAAAUGCGUAGAUAUUAGGAGGAAUACCAGUGGCGAAGGCGACUUUCUGGACUUUGACUGACGCUGAGGAACGAAAGCGUGGGUAGCAAACAGGAUUAGAUACCCUGGUAGUCCACGCCGUAAACGAUGAGUGCUAGGUGUUGGGUGUCAAAGCUCGGUGCCGCAGCAAACGCAUUAAGCACUCCGCCUGGGGAGUACGUGCACAAGCAUGAAACUCAAGGGAAUUGACGGGGACCCGCACAAGCAGCGGAGCAUGUGGUUUAAUUCGAAGCAACGCGAAGAACCUUACCAGGGCUUGACAUGCCUCUGACCGAUGUAGAGAUACAUCUUUAUCCUUCGAGAUACAGGGGACACAGGUGGUGCAUGGUUGUCGUCAGCUCGUGUCGUGAGAUGUUGGGUUAAGUCCCGCAACGAGCGCAACCCUUGUCUUUAGUUGCUAACAAGUAAAGUUGAGCACUCUAGAGAGACUGCCGAUGAUAAAUCGGAGGAAGGUGGGGAUGACGUCAAAUCAUCAUGCCCUUUAUGUCCUGGGCUACACACGUGCUACAAUGGUCGGUACAACGAGAAGCGACAUAGUGAUGUGAAGCAAAUCUCUGAAAGCCGAUCCCAGUUCGGAUUGCAGGCUGCAACUCGCCUGCAUGAAGUCGGAGUUGCUAGUAAUCGCGAAUCAGAAUGUCGCGGUGAAUGCGUUCCCGGGUCUUGUACACACCGCCCGUCACACCAUGGGAGUUGAAAAUACCCGAAGCCAGUGAGCUAACCUUAAAGGGAGCAGCUGUCGAAGGUAGGGUCAAUGACUAGGGUGAAGUCGUAACAAGGUAGCCGUA